ACUGCAGAUUAUGGUUUCCUUUCUCAGUACAAGAAUCACUAGCUCUGGAGUGGUUAGCCUCAGUUUUCCUCUUGGGACUACCGUCCGUGGAACAGCCUGGAGUUUCGGGGAUGGAGGGGCCGAAUGAAAUCUAAAAGCCGUCUCCUGAAAUAGCUUUGUGAUGACCUGAGAAGGGAGAAGACAUCUGACCUUUGGCUAUGUUGUCUCCAUAUUGUUCCUGGAUGAUACAUUUCUCACUGACCCUUGACACUAAAAGGGAAGUUAGUCGUUACUGAAGGAUAUUUCUUUUACUAGAUAAGAAAUAUAAAAGUAUAACUCAAUUGUAAUUCCCAUUUGUCCUUCCUAUUGAGGGAACUAUUCCUGCCCGUUUCCAGACAAAGCCAAGAAAAGGGACACACGCAGAGACUGCAAGUAUAAGUGCGCCUGUGGGGACAUGUUAUAGUUUUUAGUAUGAAAAGAUGUUUAAGGUAUCUGAUCACAGGAAUGAGAAAUGGAACUCCUACACACAUCAUUGGGAAAUUUGAGAGUAUUGGAAUCAAAGAAAAGAUCACAUAAUUGUCAAAAGUAGGAGAAAAAAGUAGACCAUUUCAAAGGCCCAGUAUGUACACAAGAAAGUGAACAACAAUGGAACAGUGUCUUCCAAGCACCAAAGGAAGAUUAUUUCCAACCAGAAAUUCUUUGCUCAAACUAUCAGCUACAUGUCAGAGAGAAGGAGGAAAGACAUUGUCAGACAGAUGUGUGCUAUUUCUCAAGAAAGGAGAUUUUACCCUACCAAAUCAAGAGGAAACUAAAAAAAUGAGGUAGGUACAGACCGAGGAAACUUGAAGUCCAACACAGAGCAAAGAAGAGCAGGGAAUUCCCAAGGGUGAGAGUGAAAGAAGAGCCUCAUUGGUGACAAAGCAGUCAGCAGUCAUGUGUGCAGUGCAGAUGGGAGUGUGUCACGUCACCAGAGAUUCUUCAGGAAGAACGCAUUGAUAGAAAACUGCACCUGAACUCUUCAGAGGUAAAUUAGACAACUGUUUAAAGUCAGUACAGUUAAUGAAAAUCACUGUCUUAGUUUGUGCUGUUAUAACAAAAUCCCACAAACUACGUAGUUUAUAUACAGCAGAAAUUGAUUUCUCAUAGUUCUCCAAAAACAAGGCCCAGACAGAUUCAGUGUCUGAUGAGAACCCACGUUCUGGUUCAUGGAUAUGAUCUAAUUACCUCUCAAUGGCCCACCUCCGAAUACCAGCAUCAUGAAGAAUAAGAUUGUAAUAUCUAAAUGUGGGGGAAGAAAUAAGACAUUCAGCCCACGGAAGCAACCACUUUGAAAACAAAAAUCAACAACAAAAUAUCUCAAACCAGCUGUGUGUAAAAUGUUCAUCUGUGAAUAGCAGUUACAUAUUAUAGUAAUGUAAACACUAAAAUUUCAUCAAAAUCUUGAGAAAACUAUCAGGAAGAUAGGGUAACGAAGGUAGAUCCCUUGAAAUCAACACAGUAAUGCUUUAUUUUGAAAAAAUAACAACAAGGGCUAGUAUACAUGCUAUUUAUAAUGGACUAAAUAUCAAAACAAUUGUCUUUAAAGAAGUGAAAAUAGUCAUUUUAUUGAUCAGAA